rnacentral:rRNA from 1 species
CCGGGAGCGCGCUACCUGCAGUCGACGGGGAUAGCAUAUGUCAGUGGCAGACGGGUGAGUAACGCGUGGGAACAUACCUCUUGGUUCGGAACAACACAGGGAAACUUGUGCUAAUACCGGAUAAGCCCUUACGGGGAAAGAUUUAUCGCCGAGAGAUUGGCCCGCGUCUGAUUAGCUAGUUGGUGUGGUAAAGGCGCACCAAGGCGACGAUCAGUAGCUGGUCUGAGAGGAUGAUCAGCCACAUUGGGACUGAGACACGGCCCAAACUCCUACGGGAGGCAGCAGUGGGGAAUAUUGGACAAUGGGCGCAAGCCUGAUCCAGCCAUGCCGCGUGAGUGAUGAAGGCCUUAGGGUUGUAAAGCUCUUUUGUACGGGAAGAUAAUGACGGUACCGUAAGAAUAAGCCCCGGCUAACUUCGUGCCAGCAGCCGCGGUAAUACGAAGGGGGCUAGCGUUGCUCGGAAUCACUGGGCGUAAAGGGUGCGUAGGCGGGUUUUUAAGUCAGAGGUGAAAUCCUGGAGCUCAACUCCAGAACUGCCUUUGAUACUGAAAGUCUUGAGUAUGGGAGAGGUGAGUGGAACUGCGAGUGUACAGGUGAAAUUCGUAGAUAUUCGCAAGAACACCAGUGGCGAAGGCGGCUCACUGGCCCAUUACUGACGCUGAGGCACGAAAGCGUGGGGAGCAAACAGGAUUACAUACCCUGGUAGUCCACGCCGUAAACGAUGAAUGCCAGCCGUUAGUGGGUUUACUCACUAGUGGCGCAGCUAACGCUUUAAGCAUUCCGCCUGGGGAGUACGAUCGCAAGAUUAAAACUCAAAGGAAUUGACGGGGGCCCGCACAAGCGGUGGA